rnacentral:rRNA from 1 species
UACGUAGGAUGCGAGCGUUAAUCGGAAUUACUGGGCGUAAAGUGUGCGCAGGCGGCCGCGCAAGUCGAGUGUGAAAGCCCCGAGCUUAACUUGGGAAUUGCGCUCGAAACUACGUGGCUGGAGUGUGGCAGAGGAAGGUGGAAUUCCACGUGUAGCGGUGAAAUGCGUAGAGAUGUGGAGGAACACCGAUGGCGAAGGCAGCCUUCUGGGCCAACACUGACGCUCAUGCACGAAAGCGUGGGGAGCAAACAGG